ACCAAUCUUUACCAUUCAGUGAUAACAAGCACUUUAUUUUACAUUUUAAUAUUUUAUGAUGUAUUUAAAAGAGUAGUUAUUGUUGCAAACUCCAUUAGAAAUUUGAAUUGAUAUCAGUUUUGGAAAAAGGGAAACGGGGAUGUGAAAAAAAGGGGGGGGGGUUAAAUUUUUCUCAUUUCAGAUUUCAUAAAUAAAAAGAAAAUUUCUUCAAACAUUUUUUUGAGAGGAUUAAUAUUCAACAGCAUAGUGAAUUGCUCAAAGGCAAAAAAAAACUUUUAAGUUCAUUAGACCACAUUCGUUCUGUGUCAGAAACCUAUGCUGUGUCAUGAUCAACUAUUUAAUUUUAGAUUUAAAAAGUUUGAAGAAGAAAUCUUUAAUUGAUUUGUAAAAUCUUGACAUUUGUUUUGUGUAAAAAAAAAACCAUGUAAUGUCAAAAAUUUGAUCACAAUCCAAAUUCAGAGCUGUAUCACGCUUGAAUGUUUUGUCCAUACUUGCCCCAACUGUUCAGGGUUCGACCUCUGCGGUCGUAUAAAGCUGCACCCUGCGGAGCACCUGGUUGCUUAUGGGGCCAGUUUUCAAGUUGGUCCAAAUCAUGGUCCAUGGGGGUUCUUCAAUAUGCUGAAUCUAACCAUGUAUUUAGAUUUUUGAUAUUUGGCCCCAGUGAUCAAAUUGGUCCACAUUGAGGUCUAAAGGGUCCAAAAUUGAACUUUAUUUGAUUUCAUCAAAAAUUGAAUUCUUUGGGUUUUUUGAUAUGCUGAAUCUCACCAUGUAUUUAGAUCUUGGAUAUUGGACCAUAAAAAGUAAAUGUCCAAUUUGAAAUUUAAAGUUUUUAAGUUUAAGUUCUUAGACCACAUUCAUUCUGUGUCAGAAACCUAUGUUGUGUCAACUAUUUAAUCAAAAUCCAAAUUCAGAGCUGUAUCAAGCUUGAAUGUUGCUUCCAUACUUGCCCCAACUGUUCAGGGUUGGAAUUCUGCGGUCGUAUAAAGCUGCGCCCUGUGGAGCAUCUGGUUUAAACAAGUUUUAGUUGAUAUAGAGAGACAUUGACUUGUUAGCAAAAAUUAUCAAACAGGACAAAAUUUACAAAAAGGUCAGAUUGCAAACUAAAUGGAUGUAUUACAUUUUAAAAUAAUUCAGUCAUGUUGAAUAAGUAAAGCAGGC
rnacentral:lncRNA from 1 species